UUACGGGAGGCAGCAGUGGGGAAUUUUGGACAAUGGGGGCAACCCUGAUCCAGCCAUGCCGCGUGAGUGAAGAAGGCCUUCGGGUUGUAAAGCUCUUUCGGACGGAAAGAAAUCGCCAUUUCUAAUACAAGUGGUGGAUGACGGUACCGUCAUAAGAAGCACCGGCUAACUACGUGCCAGCAGCCGCGGUAAUACGUAGGGUGCGAGCGUUAAUCGGAAUUACUGGGCGUAAAGCGUGCGCAGGCGGUUUUGUAAGACAGGUGUGAAAUCCCCGGGCUUAACCUGGGAACUGCAUUUGUGACUGCAAGGCUAGAGUGUGGCAGAGGGGGGUAGAAUUCCACGUGUAGCAGUGAAAUGCGUAGAGAUGUGGAGGAAUACCGAUGGCGAAGGCAGCCCCCUGGGUCAACACUGACGCUCAUGCACGAAAGCGUGGGGAGCAAACAGGAUUAGAAACCCUAGUAGUCCA
rnacentral:rRNA from 1 species